UUUCGGUGGUGUAGCGGCAGCUGCUCCAGUCAUGAGGGGCGGGCAGCGGCGGGGUCGGCAGCUAGUGGGGUGCAGCACUUGCAGGUGUUCGUGAUGAGUUUACUCCUCAAUCCCAAGCCUUUUCUCAAUGGACUGACAGGAAAGCCAGUGAUGGUAAAACUUAAGUGGGGCAUGGAGUACAAGGGCUACCUGGUCUCCAUUGAUGGCUACAUGAACAUGCAGCUUGCAAAUCAGAAGAAUACAUAGAUGGGGCAUUGUCUGGACAUCUGGGUGAAGCUCUAAUAAGGUGUAAUAAUGUCCUCUACAUCAGAGGUGUUGAAGAGGAGGAGGAAGAUGGGGAGAUGAGAGAAUAGCAUCUUGGAAUUUUAUAUAUAUAUACAUAUAUAUAUAUAUACAUGCACAUAUAUAUACAUAUAUAUACAUA
rnacentral:lncRNA from 1 species